GAGUUUGAUCCUGGCUCAGAUUGAACGCUGGCGGCAUGCCUUACACAUGCAAGUCGAACGGCAGCACGGGAGCUUGCUCCUGGUGGCGAGUGGCGAACGGGUGAGUAAUGCAUCGGAACGUAUCCUGGAGUGGGGGAUAACGUAGCGAAAGUUACGCUAAUACCGCAUAUUCUGUGGGCAGGAAAGCGGGGGACCUUCGGGCCUCGCGCUCUUGGAGCGGCCGAUGUCGGAUUAGCUAGUUGGUGAGGUAAAGGCUCACCAAGGCGACGAUCCGUAGCAGGUCUGAGAGGAUGAUCUGCCACACUGGAACUGAGACACGGUCCAGACUCCUACGGGAGGCAGCAGUGGGGAAUUUUGGACAAUGGGGCAACCCUGAUCCAGCCAUGCCGCGUGAGUGAAGAAGGCCUCGGUUGUAAGUAC
rnacentral:rRNA from 1 species